rnacentral:lncRNA from 1 species
UCAUGAUGUUAGAAAUUUCUGGGAUUCAGUUUCCUGAAAUGAAAUGGUUCAUGAAUGCCAUUAAAGUGCUUCUGGGAGCUGAACCUGCCUUUGAAUGGAGCCUUUUCCUGUGGAAACAUGGUUUGGUGACAAGGUUGGGACACCUUGAGCAAGCCUUUCUGCUGGGCUAACUGGAGGAUGUGUAGCCGUCUCUGGUCAGAGAAGAAGCCCUAUUUGCUGAAGUCUUUCUUCAACACUUUGACUCGGCCAUCCUCCCCCUCCCCAAACCUGCUGAAGACCCAGAAAAUCUCCCAGACUCUCCCAUUGCUGGUGACCGCAUCCACCAUCAGAGCCUCUGCUGGGCUGAAACACCAGAAGUUGGAAAACAACACAAGAAAGCCAUGGUAAGUGAUAACAACUAAAAUACAUCACUAUCACUUUUGGAAUAGAGUAUCAUAUUAUUAACUGG